AGAGUUUGAUCCUGGCUCAGGAUGAACGCUGGCGGCGUGCUUAACACAUGCAAGUCGAACGAUUAACCCUUCUUCGGAAGGUCAUAAAGUGGCGAACGGGUGAGUAACACGUGACCAACCUGCCUCUCACAUUGGGAUAACUUAGAGAAAUCUAAGCUAAUACCAAAUACUCUUGAUCUGCCGCAUGACAGAUCAAGGAAAGCUUUCGCGGUGAGAGAUGGGGUCGCGGCCCAUUAGGUAGUUGGUGGGGUAGAGGCCUACCAAGCCGAUGAUGGGUAGCCGGGUUGAGAGACCGACCGGCCACAUUGGGACUGAGAUACGGCCCAGACUCCUACGGGAGGCAGCAGUGGGGAAUUUUGCGCAAUGGGCGAAAGCCUGACGCAGCAACGCCGCGUGCGGGAUGACGGCCUUCGGGUUGUAAACCGCUUUCAGUGGGAAAGAUAAUGACGGUACCCACACAAGAAGCUCCGGCUAAAUACGUGCCAGCAGCCGCGGUAAUACGUAUGGAGCAAGCGUUAUCCGGAUUUAUUGGGCGUAAAGCGCGCGUAGGCGGCUUGUUAAGCAAGGUCUUAAAUCUUGGGGCUCAACCUCAAGCCGGAUCUUGAACUGGCAGGCUCGAGUAUGGUAGAGGAAAGUGGAAUUCCCAGUGUAGCGGUGGAAUGCGCAGAUAUUGGGAAGAACACCGAUGGCGAAGGCAGCUUUCUGGGCCAUUACUGACGCUGAGGUGCGAAAGCUAGGGGAGCAAACAGGAUUAGAUACCCUGGUAGUCCUAGCCGUAAACGAUGGGCACUAGGUGUGGGGAGGAUAACCUUUCCGUGCCGCAGCUAACGCAUUAAGUGCCCCGCCUGGGGAGUACGGCCGCAAGGCUAAAACUCAAAGGAAUUGACGGGGGCCCGCACAAGCAGCGGAGCAUGUGGCUUAAUUCGAAGCAACGCGAAG
rnacentral:rRNA from 1 species